rnacentral:rRNA from 1 species
UAUAGAGUUUUKWWUYWGCUCAGGACGAACGCUGGCGGCGUGCCUAAUACAUGCAAGUCGAGCGGACAGAAGGGAGCUUGCUCCCGGAUGUUAGCGGCGGACGGGUGAGUAACACGUGGGUAACCUGCCUGUAAGACUGGGAUAACUCCGGGAAACCGGAGCUAAUACCGGAUAGUUCCUUGAACCGCAUGGUUCAAGGAUGAAAGACGGUUUCGGCUGUCACUUACAGAUGGACCCGCGGCGCAUUAGCUAGUUGGUGAGGUAACGGCUCACCAAGGCGACGAUGCGUAGCCGACCUGAGAGGGUGAUCGGCCACACUGGGACUGAGACACGGCCCAGACUCCUACGGGAGGCAGCAGUAGGGAAUCUUCCGCAAUGGACGAAAGUCUGACGGAGCAACGCCGCGUGAGUGAUGAAGGUUUUCGGAUCGUAAAGCUCUGUUGUUAGGGAAGAACAAGUGCAAGAGUAACUGCUUGCACCUUGACGGUACCUAACCAGAAAGCCACGGCUAACUACGUGCCAGCAGCCGCGGUAAUACGUAGGUGGCAAGCGUUGUCCGGAAUUAUUGGGCGUAAAGGGCUCGCAGGCGGUUUCUUAAGUCUGAUGUGAAAGCCCCCGGCUCAACCGGGGAGGGUCAUUGGAAACUGGGAAACUUGAGUGCAGAAGAGGAGAGUGGAAUUCCACGUGUAGCGGUGAAAUGCGUAGAGAUGUGGAGGAACACCAGUGGCGAAGGCGACUCUCUGGUCUGUAACUGACGCUGAGGAGCGAAAGCGUGGGGAGCGAACAGGAUUAGAUACCCUGGUAGUCCACGCCGUAAACGAWGAGUGSUAAGUGUUAGGGGGUUUCCGCCCCUUAGUGCUGCAGCUAACGCAUAAGGCAACUCCCGC